rnacentral:rRNA from 1 species
UACGGGGGGGGCAAGCGUUGUUCGGAAUUACUGGGCGUAAAGGGCUUGUAGGUGGCCAACUAAGUCAGACGUGAAAUCCCUCGGCUUAACCGGGGAACUGCGUCUGAUACUGGAUGGCUUGAGUUUGGGAGAGGGACGCGGAAUUCCAGGCGUAGCGGUGAAAUGCGUAGAUAUCUGGAGGAACACCGGUGGCGAAGGCGGCGUCCUGGACCAACACUGACACUGAGGAGCGAAAGCCAGGGGAGCAAACGGG